rnacentral:tRNA from 1 species
GUCAGUAUGGCUAAGGCACUGCAUUCAGGUUGCAGGCUCCCCUGGAGGCGUGGGUUUGAAUCCCACUUCUGACA